rnacentral:tRNA from 1 species
GCUGGUGUAGCUCUAAUUGGUAGAGCAGGUGCCUUGUAAUCAUCAGGUUGCAGGUUCGAGUCCUGUCACCAGCUCCA